rnacentral:rRNA from 1 species
UACGAAGGGGGCUAGCGUUGCUCGGAACUACUGGGCGUAAAGCGCACGUAGGCGGCUCUUUAAGUCGGAGGUGAAAUCCUGGAGCUCAACUCCAGAACUGCCUUCGAUACUGAAGAGCUCGAGUCCGGGAGAGGUGAGUGGAACUGCGAGUGUAGAGGUGAAAUUCGUAGAUAUUCGCAAGAACACCAGUGGCGAAGGCGGCUCACUGGCCCGGUACUGACGCUGAGGUGCGAAAGCGUGGGGAGCAAACAGG